rnacentral:rRNA from 1 species
UUCGCAAUGCCCGAAAGGGUGACGAAGCGACGCCGCGUGGGUGAGGAAGGCCCUCGGGUUGCAAAGCCCUGUCAGGAGUUAAGAAAUGUAGGUACGCUAAUAUCGUAUCUAUUUGACAAAGGCUCCAAAGGAAGCCACGGCUAACUCUGUGCCAGCAGCCGCGGUAAUACAGAGGUGGCAAGCGUUGUUCGGAAUUAUUGGGCGUAAAGAGCACGUAGGUGGAUUUGUAAGUCAGAUGUGAAAGCCUUCUGUUCAACGGGAGAAUUGCAUCUGAAACUACAAACCUUGAGUAUAGGAGGGGAGAAUGGAACUUCUGGUGGAGCGGUGAAAUGCGUAGAUAUCAGAAGGAACGCCGGCGGCGAAAGCGAUUCUCUGGCCUAUUACUGACACUCAGUGUGCGAAAGCUAGGGGAGCAAACGGGAUUAGAUACCCCGGUAGUCCUAGCCGUAAACGAUGGGCACUAAGUAGAGGGGUUUU